rnacentral:rRNA from 1 species
GUAGGGUGCGAGCGUUGUCCGGAAUUAUUGGGCGUAAAGGGCUCGUAGGCGGUCUGUCACGUCGGGAGUGAAAACUCGGGGCUUAACCCCGAGCCUGCUUCCGAUACGGGCAGACUAGAGGUAUGCAGGGGAGAACGGAAUUCCUGGUGUAGCGGUGAAAUGCGCAGAUAUCAGGAGGAACACCGGUGGCGAAGGCGGUUCUCUGGGCAUUACCUGACGCUGAGGAGCGAAAGUGUGGGGAGCGAACAGGAUUAGAUACCCUGGUAGUCCACACCGUAAACGUUGGGCGCUAGGUGUGGGACUCAUUCCACGAGUUCCGUGCCGCAGCUAACGCAUUAAGCGCCCCGCCUGGGGAGUACGGCCGCAAGGCUAAA